GACGAACGCUGGCGGCGUGCUUAACACAUGCAAGUCGAACGGAAAGGCCCUGCUUUUGUGGGGUGCUCGAGUGGCGAACGGGUGAGUAACACGUGAGUAACCUGCCCUUGACUUUGGGAUAACUUCAGGAAACUGGGGCUAAUACCGGAUAGGAGCUCCUGCUGCAUGGUGGGGGUUGGAAAGUUUCGGCGGUUGGGGAUGGACUCGCGGCUUAUCAGCUUGUUGGUGGGGUAGUGGCUUACCAAGGCUUUGACGGGUAGCCGGCCUGAGAGGGUGACCGGCCACAUUGGGACUGAGAUACGGCCCAGACUCCUACGGGAGGCAGCAGUGGGGAAUAUUGCACAAUGGGCGGAAGCCUGAUGCAGCAACGCCGGGUGCGGGAUGACGGCCUUCGGGUUGUAAACCGCUUUCGCCUGUGACGAAGCGUGAGUGACGGUAAUGGGUAAAGAAGCACCGGCUAACUCCGUG
rnacentral:rRNA from 1 species